AGACCAUGGUGAGGGCAUCUUUGUACUAGCAACUUGAAUUUCUCCCAAGCUUUGUGAAAGCUUUCCCUUUCUAAUUGCUUAAACAUGGAAAUCUCUCUCAUUAU
rnacentral:snoRNA from 1 species